rnacentral:rRNA from 1 species
UGGGGAAUAUUGGACAAUGGGCGCAAGCCUGAUCCAGCCAUGCCGCGUGUGUGAAGAAGGUCUUCGGAUUGUAAAGCACUUUACGUUGGGAGGAAGGGCAUUAACCUAAUACGUUAGUGUUUUGACGUUACCGACAGAAUAAGCACCGGCUAACUCUGUGCCAGCAGCCGCGGUAAUACAGAGGGUGCAAGCGUUAAUCGGAAUUCCUGGGCGUAAAGCGCGCGUAGGUGGUUUGUUAAGUUGGAUGUGAAAUCCCCGGGCUCAACCUGGGAACUGCAUUCAAAACUGACUGACUAGAGUAUGGUAGAGGGUGGUGGAAUUUCCUGUGUAGCGGUGAAAUGCGUAGAUAUAGGAAGGAACACCAGUGGCGAAGGCGACCACCUGGACUAAUACUGACACUGAGGUGCGAAAGCGUGGGGAGCAAACA